GAGCACCUGAGAGUGUCCAGCUGCAUCAGAAGUAGAACCAGGCUGGGUCAUCAGGGAGACCAAACGAGGGGGCUUCAUCCCCUUCUGAAGGAAUGGCAGAGGAGAGCACUGGCACUGUGUCGGGCCUCAUGACUAAGUGAGACACACAGCACCUCUGGAGACAGACCACCAUCUGGUGUUUGUCAACGGGUUAGCAUGAUACCGUGACGAGUAACACAUCGGCUUUACAAUGUAUGCCCACCUCUUUCUUUGUCUCUGUCAGAUUUGGAGAGACUGGCAACUGGCACCACCCCUCCCUUCUCCACCACUCAGCCACCCUCAGUGUUCUCACUCCUCAUCUCUCUCUAUAUAUCUCAGUCUGGUCUGAAGAUAGGCGAGAAUCUGCUGUGGGAUUAUGUACUGUGAGCUGC